GGCUCAGAACGAACGCUGGCGGCAGGCCUAACACAUGCAAGUCGAGCGCGCCCUUCGGGGUGAGCGGCGGACGGGUUAGUAACGCGUGGGAACGUACCCUUUGGUAGGGAAUAGCCACUGGAAACGGUGAGUAAUACCCUAUGAGCCCUUCGGGGGAAAGAUUUAUCGCCAAAGGAUCGGCCCGCGUUAGAUUAGGUAGUUGGUGGGGUAAUGGCCUACCAAGCCUACGAUCUAUAGCUGGUUUUAGAGGAUGAUCAGCAACACUGGGACUGAGACACGGCCCAGACUCCUACGGGAGGCAGCAGUGGGGAAUCUUGGACAAUGGGGGCAACCCUGAUCCAGCCAUGCCGCGUGAGUGAAGAAGGCCUUAGGGUCGUAAAGCUCUUUCGCCUGUGAAGAUAAUGACGGUAGCAGGUAAAGAAACCCCGGCUAACUCCGUGCCAGCCGCCGC
rnacentral:rRNA from 1 species